rnacentral:rRNA from 1 species
CAGCCGCCGCGGUAAUACGUAGGUGGCAAGCGUUGUCCGGAAUUAUUGGGCGUAAAGCGCGCGCAGGCGGUUAGAUAAGUCUGAAGUUAAAGGCUGUGGCUUAACCAUAGUACGCUUUGGAAACUGUUUAACUUGAGUGCAAGAGGGGAGAGUGGAAUUCCAUGUGUAGCGGUGAAAUGCGUAGAUAUAUGGAGGAACACCGGUGGCGAAAGCGGCUCUCUGGCUUGUAACUGACGCUGAGGCUCGAAAGCGUGGGGAGCAAACAGGAUUAGAUACCCGAGUAGUCCCUGUCUCUUAUACA